rnacentral:rRNA from 1 species
GCUGGCGGCAGGCUUAACACAUGCAAGUCGAGCGGUAACAGGAGAAGCUUGCUUCUCGCUGACGAGCGGCGGACGGGUGAGUAACGCGUAGGAAUCUGCCUAGCAGUGGGGGAUAGCCCAGAGAAAUUUGGAUUAAUACCGCAUACGCCCUUCGGGGGAGAAGGCCUCUAUUUAUAAGCUUUCACUGUUAGAUGAGCCUGCGUGAGAUUAGCUAGUUGGUAGGGUAAAGGCCUACCAAGGCGACGAUCUCUAGCUGGUUUGAGAGGAUGAUCAGCCACACUGGGACUGAGACACGGCCCAGACUCCUACGGGAGGCAGCAGUAGGGAGUAUUGGACAAUGGGCGCAAGCCUGAUCCAGCAAUGCCGCGUGUCUGAAGAAGGGUUUCGGGUUGUAGAGCACUUUAAGCAGGGAGGAAGGCCUUAAGAGUUAAUACCCGUAUGCACUGACGUUACCUACAGAAGAAGCAGCGGCUAACUCCGUGUCAGCAGCCGCGGUAAUACGGAGGGUGCCAGCGUUAAUCGGAAUUACUGGGCGUAAAGCGCGCGUAGGCGGUUUGCUAAGCCAGAUGUGAAAGCCCCGGGCUCAACCUGGGAACUGCAUUUGGAACUGGCAUGCUAGAGUACGGUAGAGGGUGGUAGAAUUUCCUGUGUAGCGGUGAAAUGCGUAGAUAUAGGAAGGAAUACCAGUGGCGAAGGCGGCCACCUGGACUGAUACUGACGCUGAGGUGCGAAAGCGUGGGGAGCGAACAGGAUUAGAUACCCUGGUAGUCCACGCCGUAAACCAUGUCAACUAGCAGCCGUAGGGAUCCUAGGUCUUUGUGGCGCAGCUAACGCAAUAAGUUGACCGCCUGGGGAGUACGGCCGCAAGGUUAAAACUCAAAUGAAUUGACGGGGGCCCGCACAAGCGGUGGAGCAUGUGGUUUAAUUCGAUGCAACGCGAAGAACCUUACCAUCCCUUGACAUCCAGAGAAGAGACUAGAGAUAGACUUGUGCCUUCGGGAACUCUGUGACAGGUGCUGCAUGGCUGUCGUCAGCUCGUGUUGUGAAAUGUUGGGUUAAGUCCCGCAACGAGCGCAACCCCUAUCCUUAGUUGCCAGCACAUUAUGGUGGGAACUCUAAGGAGACUGCCGGUGAUAAACCGGAGGAAGGUGGGGACGACGUCAAGUCAUCAUGGCCCUUACGUGUAGGGCUACACACGUGCUACAAUGGCAGGUACAGAGUGCUGCAAUACCGCGAGGUGGAGCGAAUCACACAAAGUACGUCGUAGUCCGGAUCGGAGUCUGCAACUCGACUCCGUGAAGCCGGAAUCGCUAGUAAUCGUAGAUCAGAAUGCUACGGUGAAUACGUUCCCGGGCCUUGUACACACCGCCCGUCACACCAUGGGAGUGGGAUGCAACAGAAGUAGGUUGCUUAACCUUCGGGAGAGCGCUUACCACGGUGUGGUUCAUGACUGGGGUGAAGUCGUAACAAGGUAUCCGUA